rnacentral:misc_RNA from 1 species
AUCUUCCAGGAAGAUGUCUUUGAAAUGCAUCUCUUUGGACAUCAUAAAAGAUAGUGUUUCUGUGUAGUAAACAAUGUUUGUCUUGCUAUGAUGUAUUUGUAUAUGGACAUCCACCACAUAGAAAAUAUAACUGUACACAAAAUAUACAUUUCGUAUGAAGCACAUUUAUUACAAUGUAUUGCACUCCACCCAAAGUAUGGCAAAGUACAGACUUUUCAAUGUAUCAGGUUGUUAAAACUUUAUAAAUGAAUCAAGCUAAGCUUAAAUUUCAUUGUUUUUUGUUAUUGACAAUACCUGAAUAAAUAUUAUCUUAU